rnacentral:rRNA from 1 species
UGGGGAAUCUUGGACAAUGGGGGCAACCCUGAUCCAGCCAUGCCGCGUGAGUGAUGAAGGCCUUAGGGUCGUAAAGCUCUUUCGCCUGUGAAGAUAAUGACGGUAGCAGGUAAAGAAACCCCGGCUAACUCCGUGCCAGCAGCCGCGGUAAUACGGAGGGGGUUAGCGUUGUUCGGAAUUACUGGGCGUAAAGCGCACGUAGGCGGACCAGAAAGUUGGGGGUGAAAUCCCGGGGGCUCAACCCCGGAACUGCCUCCAAAACUAUCGGUCUAGAGUUCGAGAGAGGUGAGUGGAAUUCCGAGUGUAGAGGUGAAAUUCGUAGAUAUUCGGAGGAACACCAGUGGCGAAGGCGGCUCACUGGCUCGAUACUGACGCUGAGGUGCGAAAGUGUGGGGAGCAAACAGGAUUAGAUACCCUGGUAGUCCACACCGUAAACGAUGAAUGCCAGUCGUCGGAUAGCAUGCUAUUCGGUGACACACCUAACGGAUUAAGCAUUCCGCCUGGGGAGUACGGUCGCAAGAUUAAAACUCAAAGGAAUU